ensembl:lncRNA
GCUGGUUCAGCCCUGUGCCAAGAGGUGGCCUGUCCAGGGUCUCUGCUGAAUGCCCUGAAUGUGUGCCUCUCCACUCCGGCAGCUCAGGACACAAAUGCUUCCCAGCCUUUGAGCUCUGGGAAUCGUUCAGCUGACAACUCCCCAUUCUUGGUCCAGCCUGGUGGAGUUUCAGCUGUAUACUUGAGGAACUCCUACAGAGACUUCUGGGGGUCUUCCUUUGCAUAGGUCCCUCCUCUCUGGUCAUCUGCCCUACACAUUCUAGCCACCUCUUUGAACUCCAGUUGGCCUCUUCAACUUAGUAAGACCACUGUGCUCUGCAUGGGAUGCCCCUCUCUGCACCUUAGUCUGGAAAGUGCCUCAUUAUGGAUGGAACUGUGUUCUCCCAAAAUUCAUAUGCUGAAGCCCUAAUCCUCAAUGUGACUAUAUUUGGAGACAGGGCCUUUAGGGAGGUAACUGAAGUGAAAACAGGUCUGAAGGUGCGACCCUAAUCCCAAAGGACUAGUAUCCUUAUAAGAAGAGGCACCAGAGAUCGAUCUCUCCCCAUAGGGGCACAGAAGAAAGGUCAUGUGACGACAUGGAGAUGACGGCCAGCUACAUGCCAGGAAGAGGCCUCGCCAGAAACCAACCCUGAGAGCACCUUGAUUUUGGCCUUCCAGUCUCCAGAACACGAGAACAUCAAUUUCUGUUGUUUAAGGCCCCAUCCGUGGUAUUCUGUUAGGGCAGCCAGGCUGACACAGCCUCCAAGGAGAACGCCUGGCCCACCGUAUGCAGGUCCUUGCUAUUUUCCUUUCUCUUGGGGACCAACGUCCUGCACUGCCUGUUGUCCAAUUUCUGAACGUAGUUGUUUCACAUAUUUUGUCUACUUCUAACUGUUUAUUCAGAAGGUUGUUCGCCGGGUUUCAGUUACUCCAUCAUGGCCAGAAGCAGGAGUCCCUGUGCAGCAUGUUUUUAUCUUUUAACUAAAUGAUUUUCAGAAAUUUCUGAGAAGGGGAAAAGCUGGAGUCACAACCCCAUCCCAGGGACCCUUGAGAAACCUUCCGUCACUGCCCACUGCCUGGGGUGGGAGUGAGCGUCCUCUAUUUCUCAGGCAGCCCAGCACAGUCCUGGCAAGAUUUCCGAUGCCAGCAAGACAGCACUGCUAGGUUUUACUCACACUUGUAGUGACAUGCCAUUCUCAUUCAGUCCAAGAGGGUAAUCAGUUUAAUUUCCAUCAUACAAUUUUCCUUGUAAUUAAUAAGAAAAAUUAAUCCCCUAAGUGCUCAGCACCCUUCCUGAAAUCAAUUCACACAGGGCCUAGAGUGUUGUCCCUGGAGACUAAAGCCUCGGUCACAUGCUGGACGGGGCCACAAAGGGCAAGGACGAUUUCUCAGAAAAACAAGACAGAGCAAUCACACCAAACAACUACGCACUUGAAUUACAAUGAGACUCAAAGGUUAAAAGUUAAAUUGUAAACAUGAGACUUUAGAUUUAAGGAGGAUAAUUCUAAGGGAGUGUAAGUUUCAGAUGACACUGAACCCUAAAGUAAAACUCCAGAACUCUGACCACAAAAGCUGACACUGAUGUUUUGAAAUCGAAUAAAUUCUGUAUAUACAUCCAAAGUCAAAGAUGUCUGAAGAGUGAGAUGCUAUGAGGAUGCCAGAAUGUCUGACCACCUCUUCUCCCUCCACUCCCACCCGUAUAUCCUUACUGCAGCCAGAACCACCUCGGAAAACCCAAAUCCGGUGCUACUGCUCAUCUGCCCCAAAGCUUUCCUUGGCUGUCAUCUGGAGAAUGCAGCCCAAGCCCUCCGCUCUCAAUGCCUCAA